rnacentral:rRNA from 1 species
CCUACGGGCGGCAGCAGUGAGGAAUAUUGGUCAAUGGACGAGAGUCUGAACCAGCCAAGUAGCGUGAAGGAUGACUGCCCUAUGGGUUGUAAACUUCUUUUAUAAAGGAAUAAAACGAGGCACGUGUGCCUUUUUGCAUGUACUUUAUGAAUAAGGAUCGGCUAACUCCGUGCCAGCAGCCGCGGUAAUACGGAGGAUCCGAGCGUUAUCCGGAUUUAUUGGGUUUAAAGGGAGCGUAGAUGGGUUGUUAAGUCAGUUGUGAAAGUUUGCGGCUCAACCGUAAAAUUGCAAUUGAUACUGGCAGGCUGGAGUACAGUUGAGGUAGGCGGAAUGCGUGGUGUAGCGGUGAAAUGCUUAGAUAUCACGAAGAACCCCGAUUGCGAAGGCAGCUUACUAAACUGUGACUGACAUUGAUGCUCGAAAGUGUGGGUAUCAAACAGGAUUAGAUACCCCGGUAGUC